rnacentral:rRNA from 1 species
UACGUAGGGGGCAAGCGUUGUCCGGAUUCAUUGGGCGUAAAGAGCGUGUAGGCGGCCAGGUAGGUCGGUUGUGAAAACUGGAGGCUCAACCUUCAGAGGUCGACCGAAACCAUCUGGCUAGAGUCCGGGAGAGGAGAGUGGAAUUCCUGGUGUAGCGGUGAAAUGCGCGGAUAUCAGGAAGAACACCCGUGGCGAAAGCGGCUCUCUGGAACGGUACUGACGCUGAGACGCGAAAGCGUGGGGAGCGAACAGG